GCCCGGUUAACUCAAUCGGUAGAGCGUGAGACUCUUGAGACUUCGGUCAUCUCAAGGUUGCCAGUUCGACCCCCGCAUUGGGCU
rfam:Magnaporthe poae ATCC 64411 unplaced genomic scaffold supercont1.2, whole genome shotgun sequence.